GUCGAGUACCGGAGGAAGUGGGAUGACGUCAAGUCCUCAUGGCCCUUAUAUCCAGGGCUACACACGUGCUACAAUGGCCGGUACAAAGGGUCGCAAUACCGCGAGGUGGAGCUAAUCCCAAAAAGCCGGUCUCAGUUCGGAUUGGAGUCUGCAACUCGACUCCAUGAAGUCGGAAUCGCUAGUAAUCGCGUAUCAGCGUGACGCGGUGAAUACGUUCCCGGGCCUU
rnacentral:rRNA from 1 species